AUGGAUCCCAACAUGAAGCAGCUUCAAGGGACUCUGAUUGACAUAGAAACAGACGCAGAGCAACUUCUUCUGGCAAGGCAUCAGCUGGUGGAGAACGAUAGAAUGAGGAAUGCUAACAGGGAGGCCCUAACUGCCCUCCGGAAAAGAGCCAAGACAACUAAAACCAGUGUCCCAUCUCCAUUUGAGAUCGUAAUGAAAGAGAUGGAAGGAACUUCUGCCAAACAGCUAGUAAAGGAGAUAUGCUCAACUUGCGGGAAUCACGACCCCAAAGAACAUACCUGGCUAAUGUUUCCAGGCUCAGAUAUUUUUGCUCGUGUUCCAUUUCAUGUAGCGCACACUGUUCUGGACAAAGAUCAAGAGCAUCUGGACUACGACACCAAGAAGCUGCAAAGCUUUGUCAAGGAGAAAUCGUUUGCGAUCUCCGAGAAAGGCGCCCUUGCGGACAAAAUCAGCCCGGGCAUCGUGAGAUCCCUCGUCAGCCUUGCAGAUAAACCUAAGUAG
rnacentral:rRNA from 1 species